rnacentral:rRNA from 1 species
AACGAACGCUGGCGGCAUGCCUAACACAUGCAAGUCGAACGAGACCUUCGGGUCUAGUGGCGCACGGGUGCGUAACGCGUGGGAACCUGCCCUUAGGUUCGGAAUAACUCCCCGAAAGGGGUGCUAAUACCGGAUAAUGUCUUCGGGCCAAAGAUUUAUCGCCUUUGGAUGGGCCCGCGUUGGAUUACCUGGUUGGUAGGGUAAAAGCCUACCAAGGCGACGAUCCCUAGCUGGUCUGAGAGGAUGAUCAGCCACACUGGGACUGAGACACGGCCCAGACUCCUACGGGAGGCAGCAGUGGGGAAUAUUGGACAAUGGGCGAAAGCCUGAUCCAGCAAUGCCGCGUGAGUGAUGAAGGCCUUAGGGUUGUAAAGCUCUUUUACCCGGGAUGAUAAUGACAGUACCGGGAGAAUAAGCUCCGGCUAACUCCGUG